AACGUGCGGCCUGGCCUGGGAGAAACUUUCAUGCCACGUGUCUCCGCCGGAGGGUGCCACGAGGAAAUGUGGUCGUUCUCUCUAGCGUGCUCGGAGGUGGGGGGCUCCCCAGCCGGCAAGCUGGAGUCCUUAGCCCGGUUCUGUGACUGCUACCCUGGUCCGGAGCAGGGAAUAGUAGCAGACGGAUGGGAACUUUGCCUUAACGAAAAGUUUAAAAAAAUCACUGGGCACUGCUGGCAAGGAACAGCAGUGUUUUGGAGCCUGUGACAGCAGCAGCAACCAUCCCCUGAGCCAGGUUCCUGGUGGCUGCCACGGGGUCACCAUCUACAGAUGUUUUACUCCAACUUUGGCCCCUGCAGGAAGGAAAAGAGUGGGGAGAAAAUCAGGUUUUUUCAGUAAAGAAGAAGUGAACUCCUCAAUCUCCAAUGAACAGAUCUCUUCCUUCUGUGGCAGCUGAAAAGGUCCUGAACAAGAUACUAUUUUUAUUCUAGUCACUUCCUACCGUGAAAUUUCUGAAGCAAGAGGUCAAGUAAGACAAGCUGCUUUCCUCUCCUUCAUGCCCUUUUCCUGUGUGAAGGCUCCCUCAACCUGGUGAUUACAAAUAAAAUCUUACUUUGGGCUAUUGUCAGUUUUGGAGCCACUCUCAGCAAAAAAAGAACUUUCAUAUGAAAGGCAGCAGACUGUUGUGACCCUGCUAAAUGACUGUGUUCAUCGGGGGCAGACACACUCUGGAAAUAAUGAUUUGCAUGGAGAUCAACAUUCUCAUUUUUUUUUCCUUCAAGAGUAUGACACAGUAGAAAUGUAUCACCAAUGAAAUAAGAGCACAGGCACUUAAAAGAAUUCAUAGACCUCCUGAGUGCUAUAUUAUACUCCAGACAACAUUAUUAUCUGUCGGCUUGGAUACAGUAGAACUGUGUAGUGCCGGGGUCUCCAAAGGAAGUGAAGUGUGGGGAAAAUGACCUGUGAACUGAAUCUGAACUUCCUUAAGGAAUUGGAACAAGAGACAGUUUUACAGGUCCUGUACCGUGACCAGAUGGUGAGAAAAGUGGAUGAGGAAAGGAUAAGGAAAUUGAAAAUGCAGUUGCAGCAGCUUCAGUGGAAGGGGGGAAAAAGUAUAAGCCAUGAAUACCAGGAAAGAUCCUGCGCUCGCUGUCAGAAAUCCUUGGGCCUGGUGAUGAAUAGAGGUGCAGUGUGCAAUGGAUGCAGUCAUCGAGUGUGCUCUGAGUGCCGUGUCUGCCUGAAUCCCUACCUGUGGAAAUGCACCAUCUGUUAUGCUCAUGGAGACAUGAAAGUAAAGACUGGGGAAUGGUUCUUUGAGGAACGUGCCAAGAAAUUCCCAGCUGAAGGUAGACACGAAACAGCUGGCGCAAAGCUCUUGAAAUCUUAUCAAAAACUGAGUAAAAUUUCUGUGGUUCCUCCUACUCCCCCUCCUUUCACUGAAACCACCGGGAGAAACACCACAAUGGAAAUCAGCCAAUCUAAAAGCUUUAAUAAGUCUAUGGAAAACUUGUUUCUGUCUCUUGCCACAAAUAUGAAAAAAAUCUCAAAGUCCCAGAAUGAUAUGAGGGCUGACAAAAGUCUCCUAACUACAGAUUAUGGGCAGGACAUGGAACGGAGGAAGGAAAGGAGAAGUCAGUCUGACACUGCCAUCGAUAUUGCAAACAGGAUAAAAAAUAUACCAACCCUUCAGCAACUCAUCAAUGGGACACGGGACGACAAUGAAGCCUUUACCAAAAGGUAUUGCAAGCAGGCAGAAGACAUUCCAACCAGUCCCAUGAGUGACACUGUAUUCUGCGGUGGCAAAAAACAUGGCAGUUUAUAUAGCAUUAACAGCACUUGCACCGAGGCUGGCAAUUUUGACACGGCUAAUGUCACAGGAGAAAUAGAGUUUGCCAUCAGAUACGUCUUUAAAGCCUGCACUUUAGAAGUCUGCAUCAAGGCCUGUAAGAACCUGGCUUACGGAGAAGAGAAGAAGAAAAAGUGUAACCCGUAUGCAAAGACUUAUUUGCUUCCUGAUAAAUCUUCUCAGAGUAAACGGAAGACAGCUGUUAAAAAGAACACAGUGGAUCCGGCAUUCCAUGAAACUUUAAAGUAUAAGAUUGAAUACUCCCAGCUGGAAACACGACAGCUUCAGAUAUCUGUGUGGCACUCAGAAACACUCAAGCGAAGGGUGUUCCUUGGAGAAGUGGUUGUUCCACUGGCGUCUUGGAAUUUUGAAGACAAUUCAACACAGUCAUUCAAUUGGUACCAGCUUAAAGUAAAGUCUGGAAAGCCUGAAGACAACCUGGUUCAGUACAAUGGAGAACUCCUGGUGUGUGCAAAAUUGAUCUUACCAUCCCAGUCUAAAAAAUGCCAGUAUGAAGAGCAGAUGAGAGGAGGGAGAGAAGACCAAGCAUCUGCCGAUGGCCAGCUUCACCUUGUGGUGCUUGGAGCCAAGAACUUGCCUGUGAUGAGAUGCGGUGGCACUUUGAACUCAUUUGUUAAAGGUUGUCUCACUCUCCCGGACCAGCGUGAGAUAAGACAGAAGUCUCCUGUCCUGAAGAAAGAAGCCUGUCCUCAGUGGAAGCACCUGUUUGUCUUUGACGGCGUGACCCCAGCUCAGCUCCGGCAAUCUUGUCUGGACUUGGCCGUCUGGGACCAGGCAUCUUUUGGCUCAAAUGACCGGUUCCUGGGGGGAGCCAGGCUUAGCACAAAAGAACCAUCUGGCACCUGGGAUUCAGACCCCCAAUCAAAACAUCAGUGGCAGAAAAUACUCAGCAGCCCAAACACUUGGAUAGAUAUUACACUUACGCUGCAUUCAGAUACGGACACUUAAGUCCUAAUAGCACCCAUGUGACAAGCAUAUCUUCCACGUGUGAGCAGUCGGAAAGUAUUGCCCAAGCAUUGUACUCAAGGUUAAGCAGCACGGCAUGCUCUCUGAUCCCUUCUGCCUUCUGGAAAGAAACAUACCUUUGAAAAGAGCUCUCCACACAGCUUGAAGCUGUAGAGCCAGUUCAGGAGGGCUGCAGAAAUGUCAUUUCUAUCACAGAGCCAAGCUCUGGGGCAUGCUGAGAAGCUACCCUAGGACUGGACGAAGGUAACUGCAGGAGGGGAUUGACAACACUGUUAGUGAUGCAGCAAGUGGGGCGCCCCUCACAACCCACUCUUGAUUGAGUGGCAGCACACUGGAG